rnacentral:rRNA from 1 species
GAUGAACGCUGGCGGCGUGCUUAAUACAUGCAAGUCGAACGAGGGACUUUUGUCUUCGGAUGGGAGUUUCCUAGUGGCGAACGGGUGAGUAACGCGUUGGUGACCUGCCCCGAAGUGUGGGAUAACAGUCCGAAAGGAUUGCUAAUACCUCAUGUGGUCAUAGAGGUUAGAGGCUCUUUGACUAAAGCAGCAAUGCGCUUCGGGAGGACCUGCGUCCCAUCAGCUAGUUGGUAGGGUAAUGGCCUACCAAGGCAAUGACGGGUAGGGGGCCUGAGAGGGUGGCCCCCCACAAUGGCACUGAAACACGGGCCAUACACCUACGGGUGGCUG